rnacentral:rRNA from 1 species
AUUGAACACUGGCGGCAGGCCUAACACAUGCAAGUCGAGCGGAUGAAGGGAGCUUGCUCCUGGAUUCAGCGGCGGACGGGUGAGUAAUGCCUAGGAAUCUGCCUGGUAGUGGGGGAUAACGUCCGGAAACGGGCGCUAAUACCGCAUACGUCCUGAGGGAGAAAGUGGGGGAUCUUCGGACCUCACGCUAUCAGAUGAGCCUAGGUCGGAUUAGCUAGUUGGUGGGGUAAAGGCCUACCAAGGCGACGAUCCGUAACUGGUCUGAGAGGAUGAUCAGUCACACUGGAACUGAGACACGGUCCAGACUCCUACGGGAGGCAGCAGUGGGUAAUAUUGGACAAUGGGCGAAAGCCUGAUCCAGCCAUGCCGCGUGUGUGAAGAAGGUCUUCGGAUUGUAAAGCACUUUAAGUUGGGAGGAAGGGCAGUAAGUUAAUACCUUGCUGUUUUGACGUUACCAACAGAAUAAGCACCGGCUAACUUCGUG